GGCAGUGGUGGCUCAAGGUUAAGGCUUUAGGUUACUCAUCAGAAGGUCAGGGGUUCAAGCCCCAGCACUGCCA